rnacentral:rRNA from 1 species
AGCAGUAGCCGCGGGAAUACAGAGGGUGCAAGCGUUAAUCGGAAUUACUGGGCGUAAAGGGCGCGUAGGUGGUUGCGUAAGUGAGAUGUGAAAUCCCCGGGCUUAACCUGGGACGUGCAUCUUAUACUGCGUAACUGGAGUGCAAGAGAGGGUAGUGGAAUUUCCGGUGUAGCGGUGAAAUGCGUAGAGAUCGGAAGGAACAUCUGUGGCGAAGGCGACUAUCUGGGCCAACACUGACACUGAGACACGAAAGUGUGGGGAGCAAACAGGAUUAGAUACCCGCGUAGUCCCUGUCUCUUAUAU